UACGAAGGGUGCAAGCGUUACUCGGAGUUACUGGGCGUAAAGCGUGCGUAGGUGGUUGUUUAAGUCCGUUGUGAAAGCCCUGGGCUCAACCUGGGAAUUGCAGUGGAUACUGGGCAACUAGAGUGUGGUAGAGGAUGGCGGAAUUCCCGGUGUAGCAGUGAAAUGCGUAGAGAUCGGGAGGAACAUCUGUGGCGAAGGCGGCCAUCUGGACCAACACUGACACUGAGGCACGAAAGCGUGGGGAGCAAACAGG
rnacentral:rRNA from 1 species